UAUAUAUCAUAAAAGAAUGUAUAUAUAUAUACAUGUGUAUAUAUAAAUUAUAAUUAUUUAUCACAUGCAUUUUUCUAAUAUAUUUUCUAGACUCUUGUGAUGAAAGUAUAACAUACUCAGAACUCAAAAUUCAUGGUUCUUCAAAUAUUCGGAAGAGAAAAAUAACUAGGAUUUUAAAAACAAAAGAGUCUCCAUGGUGCCUUGCUGCAGUGAUAUUUGCCUUGCUUUAUUUAAUUGUUCUGGUACUAGCUGCAUUUAUGAUAGCUAAGGUUUAUUGUCUAGAAGAACUUCUGAAUACAUGGGAAACCAACCAUCAAAAUGAGACUUCACCUUGCAAAAUAAUAUAAAACAGAGGUCCUUCUCUGAAGAAAACUGUUACUUUAUUUCUGCUGAAAAUAAAGUCUUGGCAGCAAGGAAAUUGUUCUGAAGCACUGAGCUCCAGUCUUAUCAAGACAAAUAACAAGGAAGAAUUGGAAAUGUAUGGCAUUCCUUCCUACAUUUUCUUAUACAGAAGAUAAUUAUAGAGACAUUUUAACAUCCUGUGUUCAUUCAAGCCUGCUAAACUCAACAUAUUAUAAUAAUUGGAGAUCUCUGAACCAAACCCAAAAUAUCAAAAUAUGGGCUUAAAUGGUUAUGUGAUUUGUAAAUGCAAAUGUAUUUGCAUAUAGAAGUAAAUGCUAAUAUAUUAAAAUCUCAGACCUUGGCAAAUAAAUGGGAGGAAACCACAUAGAACAUGCAAACUGAAGAGCAUUUAGUCACAAUUAGCACUUAAAAAAUACCUAACAUUUAUUGAUUGCUUCUAAUAUUCCCGAUACUACUUCAGUGUAUCAUAUAUUAGAUCAUGUACUGCCCCAAUAAUUCCUACAAAACAGUACUAUUAUUGUGAUUGUCUUAUUAAUAAAGAAACUGAGCCCCAGAAAGAAUGAGAAAUUGUUCCAAAAUUGUAUGGCUAGUAAGAAUUAGAAACGUGAUUUAAGUCAAAUAGUUUUACCCUAGAGAUCAUGCAUGUAACUAUUAUGCUAUGCUGAUCUCGGAAUAACAAAUCAUAUCAAAUCAAGUUGUAAGAAUAUUGCUUCCUUAGAAAUAGUCAGGGCUACAGAUUUACAUCCCCCCACGCCCCGGGUAUAUCUUUCAGAGAGGAACAAAUGAGAAAAAUAACUUUCAAGAAUGAAAUAUUAUAAUAGCUCUUCACAGAGAGUAUUUUAUACUAAUUAUUCUCUGGAAUAUGGAAAAAAGAGAUGAAUAGAAGUGAUGUUUUUCACCUGAGUAGACUCCAGCAAGCUUAAAGAACAUAGGUCUCCUUUAAUUUUAGUUCUCUUCUACUAUGUGAUUGUAUAUUUUUUCUUUUUUUUAUCGCAUUCAAGUUCUGUUAUUACAUUUAAUAAAGACUUCAAUCCAUAUCAGUGAUGAUAAAUUGAUGGCAUAUAUCCUGACAAUUUCCAUAUGGUGCUCUUGGAAGACAUACCUCAUAAUUACAACAUUCUUCCUUGCUAAGGCUGGCCUCCACUCUGAAUAAUUUUCAGCAAGAAUAUCUGAAAGUCUUUCCCAGCUGCUCCCAUCUCAUCUACAUACCAUGCUUCAAAUUAAACUUGUAUAUACAGAUCAUUGGUGAACUCUUUCAGGAAAAGCAAAUAAAAAUGUAUAUGCAAAGUAGUAUAUUUGCUAAGACAAUGUCUCCUAAUGAUCUAUUACCUCAAAAUUUGCUUUCGUAAAUCACAGUUUACCCAUAACUCAUAGUGAAAUAGAUAAUAUCUGUGAAUGUUCCAAAGCUGAUAGAAGACAUCAAACUACAUAUUGACAAAGUAUUAGGAACACCAGUAGGGUGAACAAAAUAAAAACAAAGUUAUAUAUAUCAUGUUUAAUUGCUGAAAACCAAAGAUAAAUGAAAGCUGAAAGACAGGCAGUAAAAUACAGAAUUUACUUUUAAAGAAGAAAUUGCUGGGACUUCCCUGGCGGUCCAGUGGUUAAGACUCUGAGUUCCCAGUGCAGGGGGCGUGGUUUCAACCCCUGGUCAGGGAACUAAGUUCCUACAUGCCGCAUGGCGUGGCCAAAAAGAAGAAAAAAAAUAAAAUAAUAAAGAAGUAAUUGACAGCUAAUCUAUAAAAAGAAAAAGAAAACAUAGAAGCCAUAUAAUUACUGAAAGACAAUUGUCAUACUAAAACUCUAUCCCCAGAGGAAAGAUAAUUAUAUGAGAAUCAUAUGAGGAUAUAAUUAUAUUCCAUAGGUGAAAUAAAGAUAAUUUAAGAUAGGUAGAGAAAAAAAUCGUUAACUUAGGUCUGCACAAAGGAUAUACUAUAAUGUUCUUUGGAUGUAAGAAAAUAAUCCCAAAUGGAACCGCUAAGAUUCAGGAUAAAGUGCACUGAAAUAGGUAAAUGCGGGUGUAAAUCUAAAUGAAUAGUGAUUAUAUAAAACCAUAAUAUUAGUGUCUGUGGUUUAAAAUUGCAUAAGCUUCAAGUACACAGUAAGUGUUGCAAUUAAAUUAAAAGGGGCAUAAGUGGAGUUAAAAGGAUCUAAGGCUAUUAAAGUAUACAAGAAGAGGUAAAGCAACUAUUUAUCUUGGACAUUACAAAGUCAAGAAUGCAUGUUGAAAUUUUCAGAAUAAUCAUUAAAAUAAUAAAAUAUUAAGUAAGUAUGAAGAUAAUGAAGGAGUUAUCUCAGUUAAUAGAAUGAUAAUAAUUUAAUGGGAUAAUUCUUUUUUAAAAAGAUGUUUUUGAUGUGGACCAUUUUUAAAGUCUUCUUUUUUAAAAUUAAUUAAUUAAUCAAUUUUAUUUUUAGCUGUGUUCAGUCUUCAUUGCUGCACGUGGGCUUUCUCUAGUUGUGGUGAGCGGGGGCUACUCUUCCUUGCGGUAUGCGGGCUUCUCAUUGCGGUGGCUUCUCUUUGUUUCAGAGCAUGGGCUCUAGGCGCACGGGCUUCAGUAGUUGUAGCACCUAGGCUCAGUAAUUGUGAUGCAUGGGCUCAGCUGCUCCGCGGCAUGUGGGAUCUUCCUGGACCAGGGCAUGAACCUGUUUCCCCUGCAUUGACAAGUGGAUUCCUAACCACUGCACCACCAGGGAAGUCCCCAUUUUUAAAGUCUUCAUUGAAUUUGUUACAAUAUUGCUUCUGUUUUAUGUUUUGGGGUUUUGGCCGUGAGGCAUGUGGGAUCUUAUCUCCGCGACCGGGGAUCGGCCCGCACCCCCUGCAUUGGAAGGUGAAGUCUUAACCACUGACCUGCCAGGGAAGUCCCUUAAUAAGAAAAUUCUUAAUUAAUAGAUAAUACUCCAUGAAAUCACUGAAGUAGAAGGAUUCAUAUCAGAAUCAUUCUUAGACAAAGACAAUCAUUCUGAGGGCUGCAGGAGUUCAAGCAAGAACUUCAGCCUUAUCUCCUGGAUCCUUUCUGGGUAUUGAGGGGCCCAAAAAGUAUUGAGGGUGGACAUUGGAGUAUGAGAAUGAAUAACUGUAAUCUCAAAAAUGGAGGGGCUUCCUUGGUGGCGCAGUGGUUGAGAGUCCGCCUGCCAAUGCAGGGGACACGGGUUCGUGCCCCGGUCCGGGAAGAUCCUACAUGCCGCGGAGCGGCUGGGCCCGUGAGCCAUGGCCACUGAGCCUGCGCAUCCGGAGCCUGUGCUCCGCAACGGGA